UAAUAGCUUUGAUAUUUCAUGGUUCAGUUGGUUUAUGUUAUUCGAAUUCAUGUGGUUUUAAAUGAACUAUAGAACUUAUGUAUUUUGUGAAAAGAAAAAAUGGUUUUCUACCCCUCGUGGUAGUGUUUUAAAAAGAAAAGAUUUCUGUGUGGAAAACAGCUUUCAAAAGAGUUUUUCUUGUGGUUUUUAUGUUUAAACAUUGAAUGAUAAAUAUCUGGUGAAUGGUGAAUGAAUGUUGAGAAUUGUCUAUUCAUAUAUUGUGAUUGUAUCCUGGUUAUACUCUGUUUGGACAUCUUGUACUUGUGCGACGCCGUGCAAAUACAGGGGAGACUCUGUCCAUGUGAACAGUGGAUUUUCUGUAUUUGUGGCGGAUCUGGCAUACCCUGGGGUCAGGUUUUCAAAAAAAAAAAAAUU
rnacentral:lncRNA from 1 species